rnacentral:rRNA from 1 species
UACGGAGGGGGUUAGCGUUGUUCGGAAUGACUGGGCGUAAAGCGCGCGUAGGCGGAUCAGGAAGUUGGGGGUGAAAUCCCGGGGCUCAACCCCGGAAUGGCCUUCAAAACUCCUGGUCUUGAGUUCGAGAGAGGUGAGUGGAAUUCCGAGUGUAGAGGUGAAAUUCGUAGAUAUUCGGAGGAACACCAGUGGCGAAGGCGGCUCACUGGCUCGACACUGACGCUGAGGUGCGAAAGCGUGGGAGCAAACAGG